rnacentral:misc_RNA from 1 species
GUGUAAUUGAAAUAUGUAUGAAGCCCAUUAUUUCUGAUAGAUAAUUUUAGAAUGUUUUUUCUUUUAAUGCCUGUCAUUGGAUUAAAUUUUGCUUGUAGGAAAGAAAAUUUCAGUAUAAGAGACAUUUUUGCAUGAAAUUAGUGUAUUUUGUAUAUAUAUUUCCCAGUUAAGUUGUGGUCCUUACUGUCAAAAUCAAAUUUCA